rnacentral:rRNA from 1 species
UACAGAGGUCCCAAGCGUUGUUCGGAUUCACUGGGCGUAAAGGGUGCGUAGGCGGUCGGGUAAGUCUGACGUGAAAGCCCCGGGCUCAACCUGGGAACUGCAUUUGAGACUGCUCUGCUCGGGUGCGGAAGAGGGAAGCGGAAUUUCCGGUGUAGCGGUGAAAUGCGUAGAUAUCAAGAGGAACACCUGAGGUGAAGACGGGUUGCUGGGCCGACACUGACGCUGAUAGCGCGAAAGCCAGGGGAGCAAACGGG